CCCUUAGAUGUUCUGGGCAGCACGCGCGCUACAAUGGUCUUCGCAAACGGAUGCAUUCUCGAAGGAGAAUGCCAAUCUUGGAAUCUAUGCCUUGGUCGGGACAGUUGCUUGCAAUUUUUCGACUCGAACCAGGAAUUCCUUGUAAUCGUGAUUCAUCACAUCACGAUGAAUACGUCCCUGCCCUUUGUACACACCGCCCGUCGCUCCUACCGAUCGAAGAGGUAGGUGAAUUGUUUUGAUCGAUAAGAUUUGACUAUGGUCAACUCUCGUUGUGAAAUUCUGUGAAUCUGACUGUUUAGAGGAAGGAAAAGUCGUAACA
rnacentral:rRNA from 1 species